CUUUAACUGGGUUUACUAGGAAAGUUGUUUGCAAACGUCUUUCCCCCAAAAUUCCUCACCAAAACCUUGCACCCCCUUGCCUGGGGAAGGCUUGAUAAAAAUCCUGACCAUUUUGCAUAAGUGACCACAGUCCCAAACCCUUGGAUCUUAAGAACAAUGAAAAAAGCAUUCAAUUUCUUACAAGAAGAAUUUUAAUAUAAG